rnacentral:lncRNA from 1 species
GAAAGAAAGAGGCAAUUAUUCAAAGAACAUGAUACAGACUAUGACAGAAGCAAAAGUGGGCUGUGGCUAUUUGAAAAUCAGAGCAUCUUUUAAAAGGGAGACGGCAUCUGAACCUUGCCGAGUAGGAAUGUUCCAGAAGUAAGAGAGAUGACUAGGGUUUCAAGAACAAGGACCAGCACCUAUGAAGGCUCUGAGGCACAGACCACUGUGACCUGUGGAGAAGUGACAGCAAAGUGAAAGGCACGUUUUGAUUACUACCGACAUUCACAGUCUGGACACGGGUGACAAAUCUAAAGGGCCAUAGGAGUUGAAUCACUGCUAUGACUUCUGAAUGGAUCUGCUUCUGGAGAUGAGCUCUCCGCCUGUUCCCAGGAGGUCUGAGAGAUACCCUGGACAUUAUCCGUGAGAGCCACCUGCCAAGGCAGGAGAUAUUGCCCAUUCGUCCAACUGCCGCUGUCCUGCCAGUAUAUCGUCUGAGAUUACCAUCAGCUAAAUAUUGCAUUGUCUUUGGACAAUUUUCCUACAUUGUGACUCCUCACUACAUUUUCAAUGCUUUUCUAGUCCCAGACAAGCUACAGACUGUUAAUUUACACUUGCUUUUGCCUUGCCUGAGGAAAUUGAAAAUAAAUUUUAAUUUCCUAGUCAAGGGCUACGGGUGCUUUGUGUGGUUUGGAGGAAAAAAAAAUACUGUUAGAUGGAAUUAGGGAAUAUUAGGAGAGUUUCUGAAGUUAGUGAAGGUACACAGUAAUUGAUCACUUGCCCUCAUAGUGAGAGGUCAUUCCAAUGAGCAGAGGUUCUGUCAAUAUCUGAGAUCUGUUUGAUACCUGGCCUCAAUCUGUCGAUCACGCCCAGUAACCAUAUUCAUAGGCUUCAGAUCUGAAUUUUGAAUUGCAUCAGAAGCUUUCCUCUGGCCUCAGAGAUGCCAUUGAGACCAUUCUCAUAGUUAGUCACCACUCACACUACACAAAAUGGAAGAAAAAAACUUCCUUUGGGGCAAAUCAACAAUCUCUGGUAGGAAAAUAAACAAGGAUGCUUUCAGAAUACCAGAAGCCCAAGUCUGAGCAUCUGGAGGCAAAGGAAGAGUAGAGAAGUCUUUGUUGGUGGGACCACUGCCUGUAGGAAUUUAAGGGAACUUGGAUCUUAGGAGUUGCUCAGUUAAGUCCUAGAGAGAGCCUAAGUGGGACUGAUGAGAAGCAGAACAAAUUGCUAUUUCUGAGAAGAAAAACCAACACUUUUGGAUGUUAACUUUUGGAUGUUUGAAUUUUUUGUUUUAGUUUUUAUUCCUUUUGGGAAAAGCUAUUUUUAUCGCAAAAAAAUAUGUAAAGCUAGCAACAAAAUAGUUGAAAGUAUUUAUUGUGUACCUACUGUGUGAUAAUAGCAGCUGGGUUUCAAACACAAGUGAAUAUGAAAUAAAUGAGCCCUAGAUGCACAAAAA